GUAUCCUGCGCCCUAUUUCUUGGCUUCCAGGGCGUGGGUAGCUGUCAAUUGGAGUUCCACUGAAUGGCCCGUAUCGCAGGCGUCAACAUUCCAGAU
rfam:Pseudomonadales bacterium GWC1_66_9 gwc1_scaffold_4715, whole genome shotgun sequence.